ensembl:lncRNA
CUCCAGGAAAGGCAGCAGGGUCCGCAGCCAGAGCUUCACCAAACAGGGUAGGUGAGUUUCUGAAGCCUUGUGGCAGUCGGGUCCAAGUCAGCUGUGUCGUUCUCCCAGUGUGGGGGUCUUCCCAUUCAAAGGCAAAGAAGGGCUGGCUGGCUGGUGACAGCCGGAGGCAGAAGAACGCGCCCUUGAGGUCGAGGCAGGUGAACCAGCUUGCCUGAGCGGCCUCAGCCACCUCUGAGACACCGUGUCGCUCCGACCCAAGGAGGAGGGCUUUGCUUCCUACACAACAGCACCAGCAGGACAGUUGUUCUCAUUCCCCUGGUGUCUGGGGAUCUGAGGACACCUGAACACUUGCUCAAGAUCCUGAAGGAAAAGAGAGAUCAUGAAAGGACAAAGCAAGCUUCAUCACCAACUCCUUUAUGAUGGUCUCUGGUGGUAGACAUGGCAACAUGGAGAACAUGCCUACAUCAGAUGGUCCCCAGAGCCCAGGACCCCAGCAGGAGGACCACAGCCACCACCACGGGCCACACAACUUGGAGUAUCAGACUUCAGUCCCUGCCACGCCUCUCAUCAUGCAACAAAUGAUUAAAAUUAUUGAAUGGAUGAGAGUGUCACCCUCAUGACGAUGAGAGAUGAUCUGGAGCAGAGAGCUCGGAAGGAGGAAACCCUGCUUGUCUGAUCACCUCCUAGGGCUCAUCCCUGUAAAAUGUGAGAGUCAGUAGCCUUAUUCUGCACAACACACACACACACACACACACACACACAACACACAACAGAUGCACAGAACACACACACACACGGAACACACACACACACGGAACACACACAGAGAACACCUGCAUAGCACAUGCACAGAACACAGAACACACGCAACACACACGCAGAACAUCUUUCACGGAAGUAGACUGAGGGGAGGGCCCUGGUCCCGCCCGGCUGCUGUAACGAAAGACCACAGCCGCGGAGGCUGAUAAAUAAUAGACCACGCUGGAGGCUGAAGGCCAAGUGUGGUUGGGGUCAGGGCCAGGUCCAGGUGGACCUCGCAGGGAGAAAGGGGCAGGGGCUCCACGGUCCUUCUGUAACAGCACUGACCCCAUUCCUGAGGGCUCCACUCUCACGAUGAAGAGUCUCUCCCGGGCCACCUCCUAAUACCGUCACAUGGGCAUCAAGAUCUAACGUAUGAAUCUGGGGGAGACACAAACGUAGCAGGAGCUGAACGGAACAUCCCUGGGCCAUACUUUUGAGUUAUUGCUUUUUCUAACUUUUUACUUAACAAGAUAAAUUUAAAAGCUGCUGGGGUCCAGCCCCGAUAUAUCCAGGGAAUUCGAAGUGGGGAUGGCAUCGGCGAUUAGAUAAGAUUAUUUGUUUAGAGAUAGAAAGAGAAAUUAGGAAAGAAUAGUGUAAUGGAGAAAAUAGAGGAGAAAAGAGGCUGUAUUCCUUUGUUUACACAGGAGACCAAUAAAGCCCUGAGACAAGGGACUUGCACCGUCUAUGUAGGCCACAGGCACCCGCUUGAACAGCGGAGGGUGCCCCGCCUUGGGCUCCCUCUCGCGUGGGCCUUAGAAGCCCGGGCAAAUAAGUAGACACGGUGAGCCUCUGUGCUCCAGAUGGGAAUUAGCCUGAAAAGGAGAGAAAGAAAAGAAGACACGGGGGAAACCAGUCUUUCCAGGAACUGGUCCGUCUCUUUAUUUUUCAGGGAAGCUUUUAUACUUUAAGUUGUACAUAGAGAUCAAUGCAUACAAAGUCAUGCAGGGUCAACAGACCUGACCCUUAUCGAGACCAGGCACUCUUUAUGCAUGCAUACAAAGGUCUUAGGUGGUUUUACAUCAUCUUCUGGCCAGGGGGCCUGCUAACAUUUUAUGACCCUUUCUUUCUGAUAAUGGUCAGUCAACCAGAACACUUAUUUUUUCCAAGGGUGAUUUUUCUUAAACCAGGCGCCACCCUCCAAAGGGACCAGAUAAAGUUGCAUUCCUGCAGGGCAAAGGUGCAGUGGGCUAUAGUCCAGAAAAGAAUUUACUAGCCUAAGGUCUAAUGUGAUUAAUAUCAAAGGUUAUUACUUAUUUUCCCAUAUGCCAGUUAUAUCAGUUAAUGUAUAUAAGGAACAAGGGAUAUGGAGACUUAGCAGCAAAUAUUGGCUCGACAAUGAAACCCUCCACCGGUAUAUUUCUAACAACUCACUAAUACUACACUAAUAAUUUCUAACUUCUCAAAAAAGUGUGUAUUUAGAAAGUUCAGAGCGUCUCAUGCCUCUCACGGUUGCGAGGCUAUGAACAAUCACAUGUGUGGUUGUAAGAGGCCGGAUAAACUUGUCAGGCAGGCUAGAGAGCCAUCAGAGGAGUUUUUGGACUGAAACACUCUUGUUAUGCCCAGGAGACUUAUUAACUGGAGCUCUAAGUUAACUCUUUUCAGAGAAAGGUGGUGGGGGAUAGCCUGCUGUUAAUGCCAGAAGAGUUGGUGAAAAGCAUAAUCCAAUAAGAUGGAGACUCUAUUUUGGGGGUGAAUGCUCGAGAAGGUCCAGGGGGGUUCCCUCAAGGCCUGAUCUCGCCUUUGCCUGUCAGGCCUCUUCCUCAUGACCUUUGCCACAGGUGGGAUUCCCCAUGCUGGCUCCCAGCAAAAAGCCAGAUGUGAUCAACCAGGAUUACUAUUCUUUUAAAAAUUAAAAUUAAUGGAAAUGUGGCACCAACUUUGCAUACUUGGCACAAACCCCCUCGAUUGUGGUGUAUAACUAUUUUUAUACAUUGUUGGGUUCUAUUUGCUAAUAUUUCCAUGUAGCAGUAGUUCACGUUCAUGUUCAUGAGAGAUGUUGGUCUGUCGUUUCCUUUCGUUUCUUAGAAUUUACUUCUGGCUGUGCUGGGCCUUCAUCACUGUGAGCUCUGCUCUAGCUGUGACAGACAGGGGUUCCUCUCCAUCUGUGCUGCACGGGCCUCUCUUUGAGGCGGCUUCCCUCAUGGAGCGCGGACUCUAGAGCACAGGUUCAGUAGCUGUGGUACGUGGGCUUAGCUGCUCUGUGGCGUGUGGAAUCUUCCCGGCCGGAGAUCAAACCUGUGUCCCCUGCAAAGGCACAUGGACUCUUCUCCACUGUACCAGCAGGGAGGUUCAUUAUAUGAUGUCUGUUGUUUUAAAUUUGUUAAAGUGUGUCUGUGGCCCAGAAUGUGGCAUGGUGUAUCUUUGUGAAUCUUCCAGGUGAGCAUGUGGAUAACCUGCGUUCUGCUGUUGCCAUAAUUCGUAGAUGUGAAUCUCAUCCAGUUGACGAACGGUACAUUUUUAAACUCCGUUUCUUUGCCCGUGUCGGGUCUUAGUUGCAGCAUGCGGGAUCUUCGUUGUGUCAUGUGGAAUCUUUGGUUGCAGCUGACAGACUCUCUAGUUGUGACCUGCAGGCUCAGUAGCUGGGGGUGCGGGCUCUAAAGCACGUGGCUUCAGUAGUUGCGGCACAUGGGCUUAGUUGCUCCGUGGCAUGUGGGAUCUUAGUUGCUGAACCAGGGUUUGAAGUCGUGUCCCUUGCAUUACAAGGUGGAUUCUUAACCACUGGACCACGAGGGAAGUUCCUAGAUGUUAUUGUUGAGUUUCCUUCCUGAUUUUCUGCCUGAUGAUCUGUCCAUUUCUAAUAGGCUUGAGUUGAAAUCUCCAGCUCAGAUAAUGGAUUUACCUACGUCUUUUGCAGUUCUAUUAGUUUCUCCUUCACGCAGUUUGUCCAUUAUUAGGUUCAUUCACAUGAAGGAUUGUUAUGUCUUCUUGAUAACUGAUCCCUUUAUCAUUAUUUAAUACCCUCUUUAUCCCUGAUACUUUUCCCUGCUUUGAAGCUUGUUCUCUGUGAAAUUAAUAGGUUACUCCCAUUUUCUCUGGACUACUGUUUAUAUGUGGAUUUCCCUUCAUCUGUUUGUCUUUAUACUUAGUGUGAGUUUCCUAUAGACAAUGUGUGAUUGCGUCUGCUGUUUUGACCCAGCUUACAAUCAAUUGGUCAUUUAGAUCACUGACUUUCAAAGUGAUUGCUGAUGUAGUUGGAUUCGUAUCUACCAUAUUUGUUACUACAGUUUAUUUGUUGCCCUUCACCAUCUAAUUUUUUUGACACUUUUCCUGCUUUUUGUGACUUUACCUAAGCAUUUUGUAUGAUGUCAUUUUCUCCCUUUUAUUAGCAUAUUACUUAAAUAUUCUUCUUUACUUGUUUUAAGGGUUGCCCUAGCGUGGUUGCAUCAUAAAUUUACAGCGAAUCAUAGGCCACUUUCAAACAAUGUCAUAAUUCAAAGGUGGUAUAAAUACCUUAAAAUAACAAAAUAAUUCUAGUCCCUUCCUUCAAUCCCUGAAUCUUUGCUGUCAUUUUUAAAAUGUAUAUACAAGCAUGUUGUUGUUGUUUAGACACUAAGUCAUGUCCAACUCUUUGCGACCCCAUGGACUGUAGCCUGCCAGGCUCUUCUGUCCAUGGGAUUUGCCAGGCAAGAAUACUGGAGCAGGUUGCCAUUUCCUUCACCAGGGGAUCUUCCUAACCCAGGGAUCAAAUCUGCACCUCCUGCAUUGGCAGGCAAAUUCUUUACUGCUGAGCAACCUGGGAAGCCCAUAUAGAAGCAUACACAAGUAUAUAUAAGUAUAUAAUAUAUGAUUACAUAAUUGAAUAUAUCAUUGGUAGUAUUAUUUAACAAAAUGGAUGCAUGAUAGAUGAUAGAUGCAUGAGAACUAAGAAAAAUAAAAGUUUAUUUUGACUUCUCUUAUUCUUUCCUCAAUGCUCUUUCUUCCUUUAUAUAGGCUUGAGUUUCUGACCUUCUCUCUAAACAAUUAUUUUUUCCUUCUGUCUAAACAAUUUAUUAUUCCCCUUCUCUAAACAAUUUUUUUUUAACCAUUUCCUCCAAGGCAACAAAUUCACUCAGUCUUUGUGUGUCUGAGAACGUCUAUAUUUCUCCUUUAUCUUUGAUAGACAAUUUUGCAGGAUAUAGAAUUUGAAGUUGGUCAUUUUUUCUCAACACUGAAUACUGUACUCUCUUCUUGAUGUCAUGGAUUCUGAGAAAUCAAAUGUAAUCCUUAGCUUUGUUCAUCUAGGAUGUUAGAGAAUGAUUAAAGAAAAUUCAGGAACUACAAACAAACUUUAACACUUCAUGAAGCAGCAGUCUCCAUUUGGAAAACUGCAAAAAGCAAGAAGCUUUUCUAAGAAAGAAUGAAGAACAAGAUGGAGACAAAUAGAAAAUUUCUGAUUGUCUGGGCAAUGUAGUCAAUCUUGUUUAGGACAAGAAGGAGCAAGGUAAUAAGCAUAGAG